rnacentral:lncRNA from 1 species
AUGCAGGACCUGGACAGUGGAGAUGUUAAGAGAAGAGUGCAUUUAUUUGAAACUCAAAGAAGGACAAAAGAAGAAGACCCAAUAAUUCCAUUUAGCGAUGGACCUAUCAUCUCAAAAUGGGGUGCAAUUUCCCGAUCUUCUCGUACAGGCUACCACACUACGGAUCCUGUCCAGGCCACUGCUUCCCAAGGAAGUGCGACUAAGCCCAUCAGUGUAUCAGAUUAUGUCCCUUAUGUCAAUGCUGUUGAUUCAAGGUGGAGUUCAUAUGGCAACGAGGCCACAUCAUCAGCACACUAUAUUGAAAGGGACAGAUUCAUUGUUACUGAUCUAUCUGGUCAUAGAAAGCAUUCCAGUACUGGAGACCUUUUAAGCAUUGAACUUCAGCAGGCCAAGAGUAACUCAUUACUUCUACAGAGGGAAGCAAAUGCUCUAGCCAUGCAACAGAAGUGGAAUUCCCUGGAUGAAGGCCGUCACCUUACCUUAAAUCUUCUAAGUAAGGAAAUUGAACUGAGAAAUGGAGAGAGUGAUUAUACAGAAGAUGCAGCAGAUACUAAGCCUGAUAGAGAUAUCGAGUUAGAGCUUUCAGCACUUGAUACUGAUGAACCUGAUGGACAAAGCGAACAAAUUGAAGAGAUCUUGGACAUACAACUUGGUAUUAGUGCUCAAAACGACCAGUUGCUGAAUGGAACCACAGUGGAAAAUGGGCAUCCAGUUCAACAACAUCAGAAAGAGCCAGUAAAACAAAAGAGACAGAGUUUAGGGAGGAGCAAAAACCAAUUCUGCCGGUAACUUCUUGCUUUAGUCAGUCACUCCCUGUGUCUGCGAGCGAAGCAAGUUGUCUUCCCAUCACCACAUCUGUCAGUGUUGGCAACCUCAUUUUGAAAACUCAUGUUAUGUCUGAAGAUAAAAACGACUUUUUAAAACCUGUUGCAAAUGGGAAGAUGGUUAACAGCUGAAAGGAGGUUCAUCUUUCAAAUUUGUGACCACACCAUGGAAGCAUUUACACUAGCUUUUUAUAUAUAUAAUAUAUAUUAUAUAAUGUAUAUUUUUUUUAAAAAAAAAUAUUACUGGGGGCAUCCAUUUCCUGUGGACUCUUUGAUACUUUAAGCCCUCCUGCAUUAGCAUUAUGAAAAAAAAUUUUACUUUAAUAGGGUAACAUGUUCACUUUCCAGAAGUGAUUGGAAUUUGGACAUCAUUUAACUUAAGCUUCAAGCAGCUUUUUAUGAGUUUGUAGCAAUCUGGUGCAGUAACUGAGCCAUUUCCUAUUUUAAAUGGCUUCUAUAGAAAAUUAACAACUCAGUUAUUAAACUAGCAGGAUCCUACAAUGAUACAUC